AUGGUGCACUCCCUACAUUACCCAGAGUUAAAGCUUGUACUUCAAAAGAACAUGGGCAUCAUUUUGAAGACUGUGUGGUCCAUAGGUGAGGGAUACCAUUUGUGGAUGUUGUUUUUAUGGGUGGCAUCUGAGCUCUCGUCUUCUUGUGUGUGUCCUUGUAGUUAUUCACCUGCACUGAUUCUUAGAGGAAUUCAGAGUGGUUUAGGUCCUGUUUUCUUGGUGGUUUUCUUCUCACAUAUUGUGCACAAAGAUGGACUGGUCUAAGGAAUGACUUCAUGGAGGUGCCUGUCAAAUUUGCAUUGUCCUAUGAAUAAGGUAUGACACUGUGAUACACUUUAGAAGAAGAAGGAGAUUCUGUUCAGUGAAAUCCCAGAGCAGGAUACUAAAUUGCACUGAAAUGUUUAAAAACUGUUUUGCUUUGCAAUAGCUUCAGUAAUAACUCCAUGAGCCCUCUUAAACUUUUGAACAGGAAUGCCCUUGGGCAUUUAGAAGAAUCAUCAGACCUUUCUUUUCUCUACUGAAUGCAAAGAUGAGAAGAGCUUCACAGGAGCAAAGCUGGUAUAGUCCUGAAGUAGAAAGUCUGAGAGGAAUGGAAAGCUGAUUUCUUUUAUUGCUAGAUUAUUUUAUUUAACAUAAAUAUUCCCUGACUAAUCAGGAGAUGAUUAAAGCAUCUCAGAUCACUG
rnacentral:lncRNA from 1 species